UACGUAGGUCGCAAGCGUUGUCCGGAUUUACUGGGCGUAAAGAGCGCGCAGGCGGCUGGUCAAGUCCGAUGUGAAAUCUCCCGGCUCAACUGGGAAACUGCAUCGGAAACUGAUCGGCUUGAAGAUGGGAGAGGGUAGUGGAAUUCCAGGUGUAGCGGUGAAAUGCGUAGAUAUCUGGAGGAACACCGGUGGCGAAGGCGGCAUCCUGGACCGACACUGACGCUGAGGAGCGAAAGCCAGGGGAGCAAACGGG
rnacentral:rRNA from 1 species